GACGAACGCUGGCGGCGUGCUUAACACAUGCAAGUCGAACGGUGAAGGGACCGGCUUUUGCUGGUUCUGGAUGAGUGGCGAACGGGUGAGUAACACGUGAGUAACCUGCCCCCUUCUUCUGGAUAACCGCAUGAAAGUGUGGCUAAUACGGGAUAUUCUGGGUCUGUCGCAUGGCGGGCCUGGGAAAGAUGCGCCUUUGGGUGUUUUUGGUGGGGGAUGGGCUCGCGGCCUAUCAGCUUGUUGGUGGGGUGAUGGCCUACCAAGGCGGUGACGGGUAGCCGGCCUGAGAGGGUGGACGGUCACACUGGGACUGAGACACGGCCCAGACUCCUACGGGAGGCAGCAGUGGGGAAUAUUGCACAAUGGGCGCAAGCCUGAUGCAGCGACGCCGCGUGAGGGAUGGAGGCCUUCGGGUUGUAAACCUCUUUCGCCAGUGAAGCAGGCCUGCUCCUUGUGGGUGGGUUGACGGUAGCUGGAUAAGAAGCGCC
rnacentral:rRNA from 1 species